rnacentral:misc_RNA from 1 species
UAAGUCUUGUCCCCUCCCUCCGAGAAAGGCUUCCUUACUAGCAAGUCAAUGACAUAAAUGAUAAAUGUGAAGUACCCAUACAAGCUCAUAUGUGCUGUGACAAAUGAUAGAUCUUCCAAUAAAGGGUCAGGCCGAGCACAAGUUACAUUAAAUAAUCAUCAUAAUCGGAAAAUGUAGACUGCAAAAUUCGAAAUUAAGGAAACAAUAACAUGAAAGAAUCAGAUGGUUUUA